AACCUAGCACACCUGCGGUGUGUACCUGCGGAAGGAUCAUUACAGAGUUGCAAAACUCCCCAAACCAUUGUGAACCUUACCUUCAAACGUUGCUUCGGCGGGCGGGCCACAGCGCCCCCCGGGCCCCCCCAGCGGGGGCGCCCGCCGGAGGAUACCCAAACUCUUGAUACUUUAUGGCCUCUCUGAGUCUUCUGUACUGAAUAAGUCAAAACUUUCAACAACGGAUCUCAGAUCGGAAGA
rnacentral:misc_RNA from 1 species